rnacentral:sRNA from 1 species
AAAAAGGAUGUUAUACAUAUAAUACAUUUAAUUCAUGUCAUCAUACAUAGAUACAUAUAAAGGAACAAUUAAAGCAUGCUCAUUGAACCACAACUCACACAUCUUUACGUUUGCAUAGUUCUGUUGGCACUUCCCAACACUAUGCAAGGUAAAACCACAACUCACGACUCCUCCGGAUUUGUAUAACUGUCGAACUAACAAUCGUCUUUGCACUUGCAUAGUUCUGCUGGCACUAUCCAACACUAGCAAGCAUGAACAAUGUUUUGAGUGUAGGGAUAGACGGACCGAUCCUAAGUUCACUACAGUUAUACCAAACAACCACAACACCACAUAACCACUUGUAGUCAUCUCUCCCUAAGAUGUCCACUUCAUACUCACAUUCAUCAUUUACAUUUACAAUCGUAUCAUCACAG